AGAGUUUGAUCCUGGCUCAGAUUGAACGCUGGCGGCAUGCUUUACACAUGCAAGUCGAACGCGCCAGGGGGCAACUCCUGGUGAGUGGCGAACGGGUGAGUAAUGCAUCGGAACGUACCCCGUAGUGGGGGAUAACGCCGCGAAAGCGGCGCUAAUACCGCAUAUGCUCUACGGAGGAAAGUGGGGGACCGCAAGGCCUCACGCUAUGGGAGCGGCCGAUGUCCGAUUAGCUUGUUGGUGGGGUAAUGGCUUACCAAGGCGACGAUCGGUAGCUGGUCUGAGAGGAUGAUCAGCCACACUGGGACUGAGACACGGCCCAGACUCCUACGGGAGGCAGCAGUGGGGAAUUUUGGACAAUGGGGGCAACCCUGAUCCAGCCAUGCCGCGUGCGGGAAGAAGGCCUUCGGGUUGUAAACCGCUUUUAGCCGGAAAGAAAAGGCAUCCCCUAAUACGGGGUGUCCUUGACGGUACCGGCGGAAUAAGCACCGGCUAACUACGUGCCAGCAGCCGCGGUAAUACGUAGGGUGCGAGCGUUAAUCGGAAUUACUGGGCGUAAAGCGUGCGCAGGCGGUUCGUUAAGUCUGAUGUGAAAGCCCCGGGCUCAACCUGGGAAUGGCAUUGGAAACUGGCGGGCUGGAGUGUGGCAGAGGGGGGUGGAAUUCCGCGUGUAGCAGUGAAAUGCGUAGAGAUGCGGAGGAACACCGAUGGCGAAGGCAGCCCCCUGGGCCAACACUGACGCUCAGGCACGAAAGCG
rnacentral:rRNA from 1 species